GGCUCCUGUUGUUUACAUAAGAGGAAAAAAUCAAAGCACAGGACAAACUUCUAGAAACAGGCAGAGCCAGGAAAAAGCUAAAAGCACGAAGGACAAGAUGAUUUUGUCUGCUGCCACCCAGAAAUCUCUUGAUAGAAAAAAAAAAACAGAGUAGACUAGGUGAAUUUCCAGAUCAGACCAGAAGACAAGAGUCCUCCUACAAAAAGGAUCCUGCAGCCCAGUCAGGGCCAGAACGCUCCAGUUUCACUCCAGAAGCUUCUGCGAUGCGGAGGAGAGAGUUCAGCAUUCUGAAAGACUGAAGAAACAGCAUUCACUUGAUUAACCUGACUGCAGUCAUGAACUGAACGCUUCCAAGACAGAGCCCAACCGGAAACAAAACUAUACUGUGAAUCUUUGCCUAGUCACUAAUUCAGAAACAGGGACAUUGGGAAGUUCCUAACAGACAACACUGGAUAAACAUACUUUCCCUGGAUGCCACUUCAUGGAAUCAUAAUCACAAUAUAUUGAUGAUAUCUGGUCCUACCUGUUGGAGGCUUCAAAUUAGAUUGAUUAAUUGUGCUCUUUGUAUAAUAUUUGACUACAUUUACAUUUAUGCAUUUGGCAGACGCUUUUAUCCAAAGCGUCUUGUAGUGCAUUCAAGGUAUACAUUUUUUAAAAAUCAGUUUGUGUGUUUUCUUAGAAAUCGAACCCAUGACCCUGGUGUUGCUAGCACCAGUUGAGCUUCAGGGACCCUUAUAUUUAUAAAUAUACACUACCGGUCAAAAGUUUUAAAACACUUACUCAUUCUUUAUUAUUUGUUUUUCACUUUUAGUAUAAUAGUAAAGUCAUCAAAACUAUGGAAUAACAUAAAUGGAACUAUGGGAAUUAUGUUGUGACUAAACAAAAAAAACUGUGUUAUAUUUGAGCAUCUUCAAAGUAGUCACCCUUUGUCUAGAAUUUGCAGACAUGUACUCUUGACAUUUUCUCAAACAACUUCUUGAGGUAUCACCCUGGGAUGCUUUUUAAACAGUACUGAAGGAGUUCCCAUCUGUGUUGGGCACUUAUUGGCUGCUUUUCUUUAUUAUUUGGUCCAAGUCAUCCAUUUCAAAAACUUGUUUUAUUAUUAAAUUUUAGUUUUAUAAUGAAAUAAAUUAAUACGGUGGCACAAUUAUAUUUUUGCCUACAAAACUAAUUUCAAACAUUUAAGCAUACGCCUUCAGAUCAAAAGAUUUAUAAGAUCAUGAGAAACACUUCGGUCAAGUGUUUCAAAACUUUUGACUGGUAGUGUAUGUCAAGAUAUAAUUCUACAGUAUGUGUAAACGUAUAAUUAUUCCAAAAGAUUCCUCAGAGGUUCUUGUAUUGUAACAAAUUCGGCAUCACAGGUGUAAACUGUUCAAUGAUACCACUUUAAAUCAGUCCUUCUAUACUUCAAAAGUGUGCUUUGUAGAUAUUUCAUAGAUUUACUGUAGUUUUUUCAAUGUGAAAAUACUUUCUACUAUCCCAGUUUAAUGUGCAGAGACAACUACAUGUAAGCCAUUUGUAAAUCAAUUUCUGGCUCAACCAGUACUGUUGAGUUUGGGACGGGACUACCUGUUUGUACGAGCAAUGGAAGAUACAGAUACAAUGAAGUAUCUGUAUUCAGCCACAAAGAAUA